UCCGUGUUAACCACGGCAGUCUCUCUAGAGAGCCCAACUGAAUGCUGGCAACUAAAGACAAGGGUUGCGCUCGUUGCGGGACUUAACCCAACAUGUCACCACACGAGCUGACGACAGCCAUGCAGCACCUGUCUCCCUGCCCGGUUGCCCGGGAGACCCUAUCUCUAGGGCUGUCAGGGGAUGUCAAACCCAGGUAAGGUUCUGCGCGUUGCUUCGAAUUAAACCACAUGAUCCACCGCUUGUGCGGGCCCCCGUCAAUUCCUUUGAGUUUUAGUCUUGCGACCGUACUUCCCAGGCGGGGUACUUAUCGCGUUAGCUGCGACUCGGCAGGGGUCAAGACCCACCAAGUCUAGUACCCAUCGUUUACGGCGUGGACUAC
rnacentral:misc_RNA from 1 species